rnacentral:lncRNA from 1 species
CUCCCUCUCCCUCUCUCUCUCUUUCCACGGUCUCCCUCUGAUGCCGAGCCGAAGCUGGACUGUACUGCUGCCAUCUCGGCUCACUGCAACCUCCCUGCCUGAUUCUCCUGCCUCAGCCUGCCCAGUGCCUACGAUUGCAGGCGCGCGCUGCCACGCCUGACUGGUUUUCGUAUUUUUUUGGUGGAGACGGGGUUUCGCUGUGUUGGCUGGGCUGGUCUCCAGCUCCUAGCCGCGAGUGAUCCGCCAGCCUCGGCCUCCGGAGGUGCCGGGAUUGCAGACGGUGUCUGGUUCACUCAGUGCUCAAUGGUGCCCAGGCGGGAGUGCAGUGGCGUGAUCUCCACUCGCUACAACCUCCACCUCCCAGCCGCCUGCCUUGGCCUCCCAAAGUGCCGAGAUUGCAGCCUCUGCCCGGCCGCCACCCCGUCUGGGAAGUGAGGAGCGUCUCUGCCUGGCCGCCUAUUGUCUGGGACGUGAGGAGCCCCUCUGCCUGGCUGCCCAGUCUGGAAAGUGAGGAGUGUCUCUGCCCGGCCGCCCAUCGUCUGAGAUGUGGGGAGCGCCUUUGCCCCACCGCCCCGUCUGGGAUGUGAGGAGCGCCUCUGCCCGGCCGCGACCCCGUCUGGGAGGUGAGGAGCGUCUCUGCCCAGCCGCCCCGUCUGAGAAGGGAGGAGACCCUCCGCCUGGCAACUGCCCCGUCUGAGAAGUGAGGAGCCCCUCCGCCCGGCAGCCGCCCCGUCUGAGAAGUGAGGAGCCCCUCCACCCGGCAGCCACCCCGUCUGGGAAGUGAGGAGCGUCUCCGCCCGGCAGCCACCCCGUCCGGGAGGGAGCCCUCCUCAGCCUUCAAUGUGUCCAUGUGCCUAAUUUCUCCUGGUUGUGACACAAAAACCUGGAUUUAGCUAAACUAAGGAGCAAAACUUCUACAUCAGUUUGGUGGCACAUCUGGGGAUCAAGGAAGGGUUUCUGAUAUCUUUGAAGAUUGUGACACUGGAAUAAAGGAAAACAUACAGGACUCAUGAAGAGCUGACAUGUUCGUGAAUAUCAAGCAAAACAAGAGUUAAUGGAAUGGACUGAACUAAUAGAAAACUGAAAUAAUCUUUUUUACUUUUGCUUGGAACACUGCUGAUUCUCAUUUUGUUUUUCAGACUCAAGGAAGCUUAUUUUGAACUAUUUAUGGCCUUUAAUAAUUGAGUAAGGUAAACUCCUGUGAACAAAAUUUGGAGCAUCUCUCUCUCUCUCUCUCUCUCUCUCUCUCUCUCUCUGCCUGGCUUCUCCAGAAUUUAGAAACUAGUUGUGAGUAUUCUUAACUUAUGGCAAUAUAGUUAUUUGCAUCAGUGCAAUAAGAAUCCCUUUUCUUUUGCAACAUGACACAAUUGUAGAAACUGGUUGUCUUACCAAGGCUUUGACUGGAAGGGUGUGCUUCCCUUUAAGGAGUGAAGCUCAACUGGUAGAGCCAAUAAAAGCCCCUUGGGAAAACUGGCCUCACACCUUGUCUACACAGUCCCUGUACAGGGUUCCUGACUUGUGAUAAGUAAAGAAUGUCACUUUCUGACAGGCCCAAGAGCUCCAACUUUAUCUCAGGACCUUAAGAGGAGAGGAUCACCCAACUCACAGGUAUUUGAUGGUACAAACCCAUGGCUAGGCUCGGUUUUAGAAAGAUUGAAAUUUCUUGUGGAUCAGAGUUCCAUCAAGGCCAAUCUACCAGGCCUAUGUAAAAAUAAUUAUUUUUGCUGUACUUUAUGCAAACAAUCAAGCCAAGUAUAAGACUAAAGUCUAUUCUGCAAACAACUCAGUCCUAUCAUGGUUUGUUUUUAACAGAAAUGAGGACUGGAAACAGAGAAAUUAUGUUUCAAAACUUAUCAUACAUUUGUCAUUAACUUCUAGAUUCAUUCGUUGUUUUCAAGUUUUUGCCUACAUUUUAGACUGACCCUGCUAAUUCCUGUGAACCAUCCAGUAUCUCCAACUAUAGCUC